GAGCUGGCUUCUAGAAAAUCUCCUCUUAGCAUUGUUCCCUUAACUAAACACAGCCUGGGCCGAAAGCACAUCCUCCUCGCAACGCUCCCCGUCCCACACGGAGCCGCCGUAGUGCUGUGUUUACCGCUGGGACUCAACACGUGCUCGCCUGACUCCUGCACACACACGUCCUGACGCCUGGCAGGUACGCGCCCGAAACUAACCCGGCAGAGGCAUCUCCAAAGGUAUCGGAAGCCAAAUCCCGGCCCACCCACUGGCGCGUGUGAGCACAGGGAAGCACCACCAAGGACAAUGACGAGAGCAUCCACAGUGAAGGCGUGACACGUCUGUUUCCAGAACUACAGUGGGUUCGGUUACUGAAACCCAUUUUCCCGCCGAGAACAGCUAAAAAUGCUGGAUUAAAUGUAAAGACAGGAUAAACAUCACAGAGUCUACAAGACGUAAGGCACGACAAGACCGGGUGCAAAGAAGGGAGGAGGAAGGCAGAGACACAAGGGCAGGGAAGAAACCUCGGACUCAGAGGCCGUGUUUACUCCGAAAGCCCAGAACUUAAAUGUGGCUCCUCGCGGCGCCAGCUCGCUGACAUCACAGCCCAGGAAGGGAGCCCACUGGGGGGUCCAUGAGGGCCUCCCCCAGGUUGAGGAGAGUCAGUGUCUCUGUCCCGCCCAGGAGGGGCCCACAGUGUCCACAGCCACGGUUUUCACUUGGAUGAGAUCCACUCCGCCCGUUCUUUAACGGCUCGUGCUUUCGGGACCGCGUCCGAGAGCUCUUUCCGAGCCCUCGAUUCGAAGACGUCCUUGACGGAAUCUUACCGAAGUUUUCUGACGUUGAGUGUGCGGCGAAGCCCGCGAGGCACUCGGAGCGAACCGCCGCGUCAGGAGUGAGACCUGGCGUGCGCAGAGCCGUCCAUGCGCUCCAGCAUGACCCAGAGGUGCCAUAUGCCCCUGCACCUUCGUCAGAACCCACCGGAUCCUGUUCCAGUCACUCACCGGAGGUUCCUGCCCAGAGCUAAGUCCAGAUUUAUUUCACUGUUUGUCUUGUCUCUUGCCCAUAUGGACACCUCACUGCCCCAGCCCACUGUGUGUUGGAAAGACCGUCCUUUCUCCACUAAAUGGGUUCUGCUCCUCUUCGAAGACCCGUGGGGCUGUGUUGCUCGGGUCAGUUCCUGGGCUGUCCGUGCUCUUCCCUUGCUGUGUCUGUCUGUCCUUCUGCCAAUACCACACGGGGCUAUCACAGCCACGUCCUAAGACGCUGUAAGAUACGCUGCUUCCUCUCAUUUAUUCCUCUUGAUCAAGGUUUUUAUCUAUUCGGAGGCCUGCGCUCUUCCAUGGGGACUAAAGAAAAAGUUGACGUCUUCAGAAUACGGGCCUGGGAUUUGACGAGAUUCGCGUUCAACCCACGUGUCGAGCUGGGGAGAGCUGAUGUCUUCACCCCAUGGAGUCUCCUAAUCGACGAACAUGUGGUAGAAAAGGGGAAGAGAGAGCUAGAGCGUCUGUCCGUGUGCGGGCGCGCUGUGACGGAUACUCGAAGGGGGAGCCGCGAGACAACCAAGGAAAGCGAGCAGAGCACGGUCAACCGGCAAUUCACAGAAGGCCCCUUUGGGGUCCGCUGAAUGCCCUAACCUCGCUCACAAUGACGGAAUCGAAGCAAGGACAAUUGUCGUGUGCAGCUCACACUGCACACACCACCACGCUCGGUGAUGCCGCGUGCUUUGAAGUUACUGGAAAUGCUCUCUGUUAACGACUGAUAACCCGCGGGGGCACACAUACUGUGAGUGCAGGGGGACCCACACCCACGGACUCCGUGUGGCAGGAAGUGAUGGAGAAACAUUGUAAAUAUUCAGCAGCAAGCUAUAAAUAGUGGUUAAAUAAUUACAGUUCACUGAAACAAUGAAACAUAAUAUAGUCAUGAAAUACUCUCCAAGUGAUGAAAUGAGAAUCCCCCCAGAGAUCCUCCCCGAAAGAAGCCACAUGAGAGAAAUGUGCAAACUGUGCACUCUCACUGACGAGAAAACAGGAAGCAGAGCAGGACCCUCAGUUUCCUGACGCUUGCAGAGUUCUGUGUGCACCACACAGAAGGCGGGAGCCAGGGUGGACGCUGGGGCCGCAGGCCGGCCAGGAGGCGUGCUUGCCUCAUGCAACAUUUCACUACACCUGAAGCUUCUACUUCAAGUGAAUGUCUUCAUUAAAAAUGAUAUGUUAAAAAAUGCAGUAUUUUUUGCAGCUAGAAUUUGAAACUUCAUCAGAUAAAAUAAGAGGAAAAUAAAUAAGGUGAGAGACAGAGAACAGA